UUCCUACUCCCUCCGUCCGGAAAUACUUGUCAUCAAAAUGAAUAAAAGGGGAUGUAUCUAGAUGUAUUUUAGUUUUAGAUACAUCCUUUUUUGUCCAUUUUGAUGACAAGUAUUUUCGGACGGAGGGAGUACUAG
rnacentral:pre_miRNA from 1 species